UACGAAGGGGGCUAGCGUUGUUCGGAAUCACUGGGCGUAAAGGGCGCGUAGGCGGCCUGAUAAGUCGGGGGUGAAAGCCUGUGGCUCAACCACAGAAUUGCCUUCGAUACUAUUAGGCUUGAGACCGGAAGAGGUAAGUGGAACUGCGAGUGUAGAGGUGAAAUUCGUAGAUAUUCGCAAGAACACCAGUGGCGAAGGCGGCUUACUGGUCCGGUUCUGACGCUGAGGCGCGAAAGCGUGGGGAGCAAACAGG
rnacentral:rRNA from 1 species